UAUGGCCUGACUGCUCCCAGGAGGCGUAUGUUCCAGAAAAGCAGAUUUGAUCUCUCUGAAGAAGGAGCAGGAGGAGGAGGAAAAAAAAGAGAAAGAAGCCCCAGGAGCAACGUUGGGGGGCAAAAGGCACACGUGUUUUUGAGGCUCUUAAGAUUGACAUUCAUCAGUUGCCAAGUUGCUGUCUAGAAGGAUUAUUCCCAUGGAGACUCCUCCUGGCAAUGCCAAUGAAAACGCUUCCUCACAAUUGGUACUUGCAUUGUUCCCGGAGCUGCCGCCCACGCCCCGGGCCUCCUGAACCAGGUUGCUGAGUGUCGGGGGAUCCGGCCUUACCUCUGAGUGAGGCAGGACGCUCAGGCGUGGUGGUGAAGGGGAUUCCCCUGAGGUCACACAGACCUGGGUGCAAAUUCCCUCCCCGCCACUUCCCAGUGAGUGCCGUGGGGACAGCUCGCUUCACCUCCCUGAACCUCGAUUUCCCUCCUCUGUGAAGCGGGGAUCAUUGCAGCCCUCAGCCCAUAGGGCAGUUCAAGCAGACGAGCAAGUGAAUACCCACCAUAGACACACGCUCUCAGGAUGCUCGGAGACCAGCUCACACGGAGAGGUCACAUGAGGUGCCGUGAGACUCCACGAGGAAAGAGAAACGUCCAGGCAGCUCCCAGCCGCUCCAGCCCAGCCACCACUUCACUGCAACCACGGGACAGACCUGUGCUAGGACUGCCCCACUGAGCCCUCCCCAGUUCUCGACCCACAGAACCCCUGAGAGAUGGAUCAGCUGUUGUGGCCUCCGAGUUUGGGGAUGGCUUGUUACGCAGCCAUAGGUCACUGAUACAAGCACAAAAUCCUUCUCUUCAAGGAAGAGGAAUCAACCUUUUCACUUGCUGUGUGCCAGGUGCUGUUAUUAUCCUCAUUUUCCAGAUGAGGAAACCGAGGCACCGAAAGAUGAGAUGACGCGUCCAAGGUCAAGUGGCUGGUCAAUGGCAGAGUGAGGGUUCGAAUCUGGGUCUGAGUGGCUUUUGAGGCUGCUCCUGGGAUGUGAGAUGGCCUUUCCCAGCCUGGGAAACAGGCCCCAACGCAG
rnacentral:lncRNA from 1 species